AAUCUGCUGCAGGCCUAACACAUGCAAGUCGAGCGCUCACUUCGGUGGGAGCGGCGGACGGGUUAGUAACGCGUGGGAACGUGCCCAGAUCUAAGGAAUAGCCACUGGAGACGGUGAGUAAUACCUUAUACGCCCUUCGGGGGAAAGAUUUAUCGGAUUUGGAUCGGCCCGCGUUAGAUUAGAUAGUUGGUGGGGUAAUGGCCUACCAAGUCUACGAUCUAUAGCUGGUUUUAGAGGAUGAUCAGCAACACUGGGACUGAGACACGGCCCAGACUCCUACGGGAGGCAGCAGUGGGGAAUCUUGGACAAUGGGGGCAACCCUGAUCCAGCCAUGCCGCGUGAGUGAUGAAGGCCUUAGGGUCGUAAAGCUCUUUCGCCAGGGAUGAUAAUGACAGUACCUGGUAAAGAAACCCCGGCUAACUCCGUGCCAGCAGCCGCGGUAAUACGGAGGGGGUUAGCGUUGUUCGGAAUUACUGGGCGUAAAGCGCGCGUAGGCGGAUUGGAAAGUUGGGGGUGAAAUCCCGGGGCUCAACCCCGGAACUGCCUCCAAAACUAUCAGUCUAGAGUUCGAGAGAGGUGAGUGGAAUUCCGAGUGUAGAGGUGAAAUUCGUAGAUAUUCGGAGGAACACCAGUGGCGAAGGCGGCUCACUGGCUCGAUACUGACGCUGAGGUGCGAAAGUGUGGGGGAGCAAACAGGAUUAGAUACCCUGGUAGUCCACACCGUAAACGAUGAAUGCCAGUCGUCGGCAAGCAUGCUUGUCGGUGACACACCUAACGGAUUAAGCAUUCCGCCUGGGGAGUACGGUCGCAAGAUUAAAACUCAAAGGAAUUGACGGAAGGGCGAA
rnacentral:rRNA from 1 species